rnacentral:lncRNA from 10 species
GGGAUUACAGGCAUGAGCCACUGCUCCCGGCCCGCUUUACUUUUAAUAUUCAAUUUUUAUUUCCCACUGUAUGUCUUUGCUCAUGCUACUCUUUUUCUCAAAAUGGCUAAGGAUGUUUCUGGCACAUGGUCCAUCUAUCUACCUCAUAACCCUGACAAAAGUGUUACAAUGCUAAGAACUCAAGAACCAAUGUCUCAGGAUCCAGUUGCAACAUUUUUGUACAAUGCAUCAUACUGGUUAUGGAUACGUUUUUACUGUUUUGUAUUUUCUGGAUGGAUAGAAGCUUUAUCGUCAAAAUGCAGCUGUUUAAGCUGAAGCACGCACACACACACACGCGCGCGAAAAAAUCCCGCAUCUAUUUAAUUCAGAAGUCAUUAAGGAAUUUUGAAGAGCUCUGUCACACAGAAGUUUCUGUUUUCUUCCAUUUCAAUUUUCAGAGAAAUAGAACGAAUGGCAUAUGAAAAACGAACUCACAAAACUGUCUAAGAAAUAUCAGUUGCUGUGGCCAAAGCUUUGCUGUUAUUUCUCGUGACCAUUAAUUGAAGUCCAAAAGGAAUUCAUAUUCUAUCCCCAUGAGUUCAGCACCCAAUGUCCCUUGUCCGGAUCACACCCCUGUCCUUGAUUCUGUUCUAUUACUGGUUGAUAUG